rnacentral:lncRNA from 13 species
AUGAGGAAAUGUUGGAAGCAAAUGAUAUAUUCAGCUGAGCAUUCUUCCCGGCAGUGGGAGCGAGAGCCUGAUUUGGACCUUAAAAACUUAGUGGCAACAGCAAAUAAGCAUUGGCCUGGAAAAUCCACCUCCUCUCAGGCAAAACAAGGCAGGAAGACCAACAGCUUGGGUGAACAUUUGUCCAAUGUUUGUGGUAAGUCCGACCAUAAAAGACAAUGGCUUAGACAUUCAUGCCCAGUCAAUGUCCUAUGGGCUGGAAUUCAUAAAAUAAAGGCACCAGAUGGCAUACCUAAAUUUAAUUUGCUAUUUGAUUUAUCUUUGUGUUACCACUCUGAAAUGCAGAUACCAAAUGUUUAUCUAAUAAUGCUGUUAGAAAACACAAGGCCAUGCUUCAAGCAAGUAUGUCAUGGAAUCUGAUGCUAGACCAUCAAUCCUGAGAAUGAAAACUGUAGCUCAUCCAGAGGCACUCUGCUUUGACUAAGUACGACCUGUCAACAGCCAGUACUCCAUGGAUCAGGGAAAGCAUUUCAUGUGGUUUAGAAUCACUAUUCUGGCAGUAAUACAAUACCAGAGACCAUCAAGAGAAAGAAUGUGCCUUUGAUUCUGUCGUUCCCAUUCGAAAUUAGAGGGGAUACUUUUGUGUGCCUUAUCUCUUAAUGUUCACUGAGAAAACUGAUGCUUUGUUUAAUUGUUGUGAACACUUUUCCUUGUGAGUUCUUUUCUUGAACACCAUGCUACUGUCUGAUUGUCUAUUGGCAUGUAUACAUCAGACCAAUAUUCUGGAACACCACAUACUAAAAUGAAAACUUUUUGAGUCUAUGUUACCACUCUGGCAGCUGUCAAAACAAUUCCUACUGACAUCAUGUUUAACAGACUUGCCUCCGAGUCAGAUCAAUGUUGGGAGCAUCAUGCAGUGCUGCAAAAUUAGGUCAUUAAUUGUGAAGCAAGCACAACCCUUCUUGCAUUUGGAGAUCAAAAUUCUGACAUAAAAGAAAAUUGAACAAUCAAAAACUCUGGAAUUGUCUUUAAAUCUCAAACAAGGUGUCAAUUUAGCCAUUUAAUUCUCAGAGUUCUUUGGAAGGAUUUUUUAUUACAUGUAAGUAUGGUAAUAGAACACCUAGUUUUCCAAAGGAACUAUGAAACAUUCCAACAUUAAAAUACUUCACUCUUAAAAGGCAAAAAUCCAUGUCCUAACAUCCAAUGCACUGAUCAGUCUGAG